rnacentral:tRNA from 1 species
GGAGAGCGUCUGCCUUACAAGCAGGAUGUCACAGGUUCGAGCCCUGUAUCCCCCA